rnacentral:rRNA from 1 species
UACAGAGGGUGCGAGCGUUAAUCGGAAUUACUGGGCGUAAAGGGCGCGUAGGUGGUUAUGUAAGAUUGAUGUGAAAUCCCUGGGCUUAACCUAGGAACUGCAUCGAUGACUGCAUAGCUGGAGUACUGUAGAGGGUAGUGGAAUUUCCGGUGUAGCGGUGAAAUGCGUAGAGAUCGGAAGGAACACCAGUGGCGAAGGCGGCUACCUGGACAGAUACUGACACUGAGGCGCGAGAGCGUGGGGAUCAAACAGG